GCACCUGCCCUAACACGGCCUUUUGUUGUGGCGUUCUGGCCUAAUGGCAGGUUUCUCUACUAGGCUGUUGUGCCUGGGGUGGCCAUAAUUUGAGAAAGUUAAGGACACCACAGCAUCAUCCCUCCCAUCGAAGGAACUCCCUCCAGUGUUGUCUGUGCUGCUUCCUUGCAGUGCUGGGCCUCUAAUACACACUCGUGAGGCAUGCUUUCGAAUCUGAAGGACUUUGGGUAGAGGAAAAGAAGAUCAGAAAGGCCAGGUGUGACACAAGAUGUGAGAAGGUGUCAGCAAGGAAGGAAAACCACCCAAACAGG